CUCCAAGAAGGAGAUCGAAGAGGAUUUCAUACAGAUGCUCAGCCACCGCCCUCCCGCUACCCCAAGAAGAGGCCCAGAGUGGUGCAGAAGCAAUUGGAUAUAAGCAUUGUUUUCCGAUAUAUGGUUGACGGAGUCUUAGCUGAUUCGUACAAGGUUGCGGAGUUCCCUGAAAAUGUCAAGGUAUAUGCUUUCGUCGGGGUUCUCUUUGAAAAUUUCAAAAGUUUCGUGCUUUCAUUGUAACAGAAUGAUAACAAAUAAGGGCCCUAGUAGUUUAGGUCUCUAGCUUCUGGAUUAUAAAGUUUUGCUUCAAUGUAAUUGAGUACUUGUGUUGUGGGUUCAUAAGAAGAACAUGGAAUUCGAAGUUCCUGCUCUUCUUCUCUUUUGUCACUAAUCUAUUUAAGUAUCAAUGGAUGAACAAAAUUUGUUU